UGACCAACCUGCCCCUAACUCUGGGAUAACCCCGGGAAACCGGAGCUAAUACCGGAUACGAGACCGAGUGGCAUCACACGGUCUGGAAAGUUUUUCGGUUAGGGAUGGGGUCGCGGCCUAUCAGCUUGUUGGUGGGGUAAUGGCCUACCAAGGCGACGACGGGUAGCCGGCCUGAGAGGGCGACCGGCCACACUGGGACUGAGACACGGCCCAGACCUCCGUACGGGAGGCA
rnacentral:rRNA from 1 species